AAAGACAAAGCGAAAGAGGACGAAGCCACUGCACUCAAAGAAGAAACAUUGGGAAACGAAGUUGAAUAGAUUUAGCUGCUGAAAUUUUGGACUUGAAACCAUAAGAGGAACCCAUUCAAAUUUAUCACACACACACACUCUCUAUUGAUGCUCCCAUCUUUCUCUCUCUAAGCUUCUAUCUUUCUUUCUCCCGUUUCCCUCUCUACACCAAACUCCCUCAUUGCAUUCCCAUUUUAUUGAGUUGGGGAUUCAUAGGUGGUCGAAAAUGGAAGCCCAAGAGCGUCAAUGGACGCUUGGGUUGGAUCAUAGUUCCAAGUCAAAGCACCAAGAGUAGGGGUUCUAUGUUGACUGUAGGUCCCACUUAUUUGCAAUCUGUAAAUGGGCAGAAUUAUUGACUUCUGGGAGAAGGUCGAGUACGUCGUCAAUUUGGCCUUCCUGAGUCUUCCUUCGAGAUUACUCCACCUUGGACUCCAAUUAUAGUCAAUAUUGCUGAUGAGGAUGUCUAUUUGAGAGAGAUGACUCCUUGGAUGGAGGAGUGGAGGGGUAGGAUUGCUCAUGUUAUUGGUGAGGAGGAAGAGGAGAGCAUCCUCUUGUCUUUAUAUGAGGAGAAAUACAAGGUCAUUUUGAGGGAUGUAGCUGCCCUGACUGAUCAUGGUGAGGGAAUGAUGUGACAACUGAGGAGUGCCUAUCUUGACGAGAAUCAAUUUUCUGGUGAGGAAGGCGCGUCUCUUCGUGCUGAGCGCGACUCGGCGAUAAGGGAGCGAGAUUCAAUUGCAGAGGAUCUCGAGAGUCUUCGCCGUGACUUUGAGGGGAUGAGAGAGGCGAGGGACAUGGGAGAAGCGGAGAUGAGAAAGGCGAUGGACAUGGCAGAAGCGGAGAUGAGAAAGGCGAGGGACAUGGUAGAAGCAGAGCAUGAUUCUAUUAGGGAUGAGCUGGAGAGAGUUCGGACCGAGCUGGAGAGAGUAUGAUCAGUAUCAUCUUCUUCUGUUGUUGUUCCAACCCUUCCUAGACCAUCUCCUAUCCUCAUUGCAGAUUUAGAGAGACGUCUAGAUUAUUACCGAUCGGAGAGGGGAUACUUUUCUUCCAUAUCGUUUUUCUCUUUUUUUUUUUUUUCCUUCUCUCAUGUCGUGUCUUUGGUUUAACAGAACUCAGUCAGUGAUUGAUGCGAUGAGCUUCAAGAGGAUGUAAAAGGUCUUAUAGACAAAGUGGCAAAUUAUCAGGGCUUCUAUUGGUCGCGGGUGGUAGCCCUUCUUUAGCAGAUGCGAAUCCUUAUGUGAGGGUGCCGCUACCAUCUUCUGUUUGGAGUUAGUCGCAAUCUCGAGCAUCUACUCGGAUGACGGGGAGUCUGAGGCGUGUACGACAGAGGUUGGAGGCAGAGGCUAACACUCGUACGCCAGUGGCUGAGGAGGAUUUAGGAUCAAGGAUGUGACCUUUCUCUUUUUUUUUUG